AAGUUAUACCCUCCAUUUCGAAUUACUUGUAGCAGGUAUGGGUGUAUCUAGAUAUAUUUUAGUUCUAGAUACAUCCAUUUCUACGGCGAGUAAUUUGGAAUGGAGGGAGUACUUG
rnacentral:pre_miRNA from 1 species